rnacentral:rRNA from 1 species
UGCGGAAGGAUCAUUAAAGAGAUAGGGUCUUCAUGGCCCGACCUCCAACCCUCUGUUGUUAUAACUACCUUGUUGCUUUGGCGGGACCGUCUCGGUCUCCGAGCGCACUAACCCUCGGGUUGGUGAGCGCCCGCCAGAGUCCAACCAAACUCUUGUAUUAAACCAGUCGUCUGAGUAUAAAAUUUUAAUUAAAUUAAAACUUUCAACAACGGAUCUCUUGGUUCUCGCAUCGAUGAAGAACGCAGCGAAAUGCGAUAAGUAAUGUGAAUUGCAGAAUUCAGUGAAUCAUCGAAUCUUUGAACGCACAUUGCGCCCCUUGGUAUUCCGAGGGGCAUGCCUGUUCGAGCGUCAUUACACCACUCAAGCAUCGCUUGGUAUUGGGAACGGUCCGUCGAAAGGCGGGCCUUCCUCGAAGACCUCGGCGGGGUUCAACCAACUUCGGGCGUAGUAGAGUUAAAUCGAACGUCUUAUAAGCUUGGUCGGAUCUCAUUGCCGUUAAACCUUUAAAUUUUCUAGGUUGACCUCGGAUCAGGUAGGGAUACCCGCUGAACUUAAGCAUA